GUUGUCGUCAGCUCGUGUCGUGAGAUGUUGGGUUAAGUCCCGCAACGAGCGCAACCCUUAAGCUUAGUUGCCAUCAUUAAGUUGGGCACUCUAAGUUGACUGCCGGUGACAAACCGGAGGAAGGUGGGGAUGACGUCAAAUCAUCAUGCCCCUUAUGAUUUGGGCUACACACGUGCUACAAUGGACAAUACAAAGGGCAGCGAAACCGCGAGGUCAAGCAAAUCCCAUAAAGUUGUUCUCAGUUCGGA
rnacentral:rRNA from 1 species